UGCUGUUCAAACUGUCUUUAACAGAUCGGAUAUAGGUCACAUACGGGCAAAAAAGUCAGAUUUGGGCCACAUUUGCCUGCAGUCUGAACGUAGCCUUAUGCAGUCACAAAACAGGUGUAAAUGAGUCCAAAACAUUGUGUGCAAUUUACAAAACAUCUGCAAAGUGUGGAUUCAUUGCAAAAUUCACUGCCAAGCAGAUAGCAUCAGUGCUGCACCUGAGGGAUUUGCACGGAAUAUUCAUAUGUUCAGUGAAAAAUCAGCCCUUUUCUUUGCAAAUAAGCCUCAACGCAAAUUGCCACACAGUUUAAGUGGUGUAAACGCUGUCGGCUGAAGUUGGUGGAAGCUGAACUCAAACUCACCUCUGACUCGGAGUGUUUCUGUCUGGAUUUCCAAACUCGAUCUAUUGCACUAAAUAAUGAUAUGAAUUACUGCAUAUCAUAUAAAUGUGAUUAACUAAGAGGAAUUCCCUGUGUACAUCAGUAAUAAUAAUAUAAACUAUGUAAAAUGGUGUAAUAUUGUAUACAUAUUGUACUGAUGUUUACUGUUAAAUAAACCCCCUGAAUCAUUUGUAAAGAGCAGUUUUGUUUUGUUUUUUUAAUUUUAUUUUAGUGGUAGGAGCUGUGCGAUCAUAUCACUCUGGCCUCUUCCGCAGCUCGUGGAGAUGCUGUAGCACCAAACCAACUGCACAGAUGCUACUAUAGAUCACAGCCAAUAAAACUGGAAACUGGUUACGACAGCUUUUCUGUUGCACUUCUUGUUGACUUUGAUAUUUUCACUGAGCUGAGAUGUACACUGGCAGAAUGAGAAGAUGUACAGCUCUGUGACGCUGUCGUGAUGGUGAUGAUGAUGAUGAUGUAGGUGUCUCAGAUUUGUUUGGUUAAAUGUGACUCGUCAUUUAUCCAACACUGAUGCCCACAUUUUGUCUGAAUCACUAUAUUUUGAUUAAGCUUCAUUUUUAACUCCUUAACCCUCGUGUUAAAAGUGUUAAAAGAUAAAUGAGAAAGCAGCAG